rnacentral:rRNA from 1 species
GGAUAACUUACCCUUAGGACUGGGAUAACUCUGGGAAACUGGGGAUAAUACUGGAUAUUAGGCUAUGCCUGGAAUGGUUUGCCUUUGAAAUGUUUUUUUUCGCCUAAGGAUAGAUCUGCGGCUGAUUAGGUCGUUGGUGGGGUAAUGGCCCACCAAGCCGAUGGUCGGUACGGGUUGUGAGAGCAAGAGCCCGGAGAUGGAACCUGAGACAAGGUUCCAGACCCUACGGGGUGCAGCAGGCGCGAAACCUCCGCAAUGUACGAAAGUGCGACGGGGGGAUCCCAAGUGUCAUGCUUUUUUGUAUGACUUUUCAUUAGUGUAAAAAGCUUUUAGAAUAAGAGCUGGGCAAGACCGGUGCCAGCCGCCGCGGUAACACCGGCAGCUCGAGUGGUAGCUGUUUUUAUUGGGCCUAAAGCGUUCGUAGCCGGUUUGAUAAGUCUUUGGUGAAAGCUUGUAGCUUAACUAUAAGAAUUGCUGGAGAUACUAUCAGACUUGAAGUCGGGAGAGGUUAGAGGUACUACCGGGGUAGGGGUGAAAUCCUAUAAUCCUGGGAGGACCACCUGUGGCGAAGGCGUCUAACUGGAACGAUCUUGACGGUGAGUAACGAAAGCCAGGGGCGCGAACCGGAUUAGAUACCCGGGUAGUCCUAACCGUAAACGAUGCGGACUUGGUGUUGGGGUGGCUUUGAGCUGCUCCAGUGC